rnacentral:rRNA from 1 species
GUCGAACGGUGAAGCCCAGCUUGCUGGGUGGAUCAGUGGCGAACGGGUGAGUAACACGUGAGCAACCUGCCCUCCACUUCGGGAUAAGCCUUGGAAACGGGGUCUAAUACCGGAUAUGAGCACUCAUCGCAUGGUGGGUGUUGGAAAGUUUUUCGGUGGGGGAUGGGCUCGCGGCCUAUCAGCUUGUUGGUGGGGUGAUGGCCUACCAAGGCGUCGACGGGUAGCCGGCCUGAGAGGGCGACCGGCCACACUGGGACUGAGACACGGCCCAGACUCCUACGGGAGGCAGCAGUGGGGAAUAUUGCACAAUGGGCGCAAGCCUGAUGCAGCGACGCCGCGUGAGGGAUGACGGCCUUCGGGUUGUAAACCUCUUUCAGCAGGGAAGAAGCGCAAGUGACGGUACCUGCAGAAGAAGCGCCGGCUAACUACGUGCCAGCAGCCGCGGUAAUACGUAGGGCGCAAGCGUUGUCCGGAAUUAUUGGGCGUAAAGAGCUCGUAGGCGGUCUGUCGCGUCUGGUGUGAAAUCCCGAGGCUCAACCUCGGGCUUGCAUCGGGUACGGGCAGACUAGAGUGCGGUAGGGGAGACUGGAAUUCCUGGUGUAGCGGUGGAAUGCGCAGAUAUCAGGAGGAACACCGAUGGCGAAGGCAGGUCUCUGGGCCGCAACUGACGCUGAGGAGCGAAAGCAUGGGGAGCGAACAGGAUUAGAUACCCUGGUAGUCCAUGCCGUAAACGUUGGGCACUAGGUGUGGGGCUCAUUCCACGAGUUCCGUGCCGCAGCUAACGCAUUAAGUGCCCCGCCUGGGGAGUACGGCCGCAAGGCUAAAACUCAAAGGAAUUGACGGGGGCCCGCACAAGCGGCGGAGCAUGCGGAUUAAUUCGAUGCAACGCGAAGAACCUUACCAAGGCUUGACAUGUACGAGAACACGCUAGAGAUAGCGGACUCUUUGGACACUCGUAUACAGGUGGUGCAUGGUUGUCGUCAGCUCGUGUCCUGAGAUGUUGGGUUAAGUCCCGCAACGAGCGCAA